rnacentral:rRNA from 1 species
ACUGAAUAGAUACCCGGGUAGUCCACGCUGUAAACGAUGGGUACUAGAUUUGGUGGGUCUUGACCCCUGCUGAAAUCGGAGCUAAACGCACUAAGUACCCCGCCUGGGAAGUACGGUCGCAAGACUAAAACUCAAAGGAAUUGACGGGGGCCCGCACAAGCGGUGGAUCAUGUGGUUUAAUUCGAAGCAACGCGAAGAACCUUACCUGGAUUUGACAUCCUCUGACCGCUGUAGAGAUACAGUUUUCGUAGCAAUACGACAGAGAGACAGGUGCUGCAUGGCUGUCGUCAGCUCGUGUGGUGACAUGUUGGGUUAAGUCCCGCAACGAGCGCAACCCUUGUUCUUAGUUGCCAGCAUUCAGUUGGGCACUCUAAGGAGACUGCCGUGGUUAACACGGAGGAAGGUGGGGAUGACGUCAAGUCCUCAUGGCCUUUAUAUCCAGGGCGACACACGUGAUACAAUGGUCGGUACAGAGGGAAGCGAAGUGGUGACACGGAGCCAAUCUCAAAAAGCCGAUCUCAGUUCGGAUUGGA